UACGGGGGGGGCAAGCGUUGUUCGGAAUUACUGGGCGUAAAGGGCUCGUAGGCGGCCAACUAAGUCAGACGUGAAAUCCCUCGGCUUAACCGGGGAACUGCAUCUGAUACUGGAUGGCUUGAGUUUGGGAGAGGGAUGCGGAAUUCCAGGUGUAGCGGUGAAAUGCGUAGAUAUCUGGAGGAACACCGGUGGCGAAGGCGGCAUCCUGGACCAAUAUUGACGCUGAGGAGCGAAAGCCAGGGGAGCAAACGGG
rnacentral:rRNA from 1 species